UAGACGCCUCAUUCUGUUUGCAUUGUAACCACGGUGGCCUCUAGAGAACGGAAAGACGACAUGUUUCCGGCCGACACUCAUCAUCCAAUUGUAGUUUUUUUAAGUGAAGCUUCAGAACGUAGCGAAAAGAUGCUCAGAAGUCCUUUUACUUGAAUACGAAAAGAGCGACACAUAUUGCCUGAACCAUGGAAACACUGAAUGUCCAAAACCAAGUAAUUCGAAAUGUUGAAGUGUCAUGGUUGGCCCGUCUGCGGUAUAGCUCUGUAAGUUUCAGACUCACGCAGCAAUAAACACAUGCUGACCAUCUGAGCUGUCGACCAUAUUCCCAUCAUCCAAAGUAACACCUUGCAUAAGUGGAUUUGAAGCCAUUUCAAGAAAAUCAUUUAUUGCUGGUAUUAGCGGUUGUUGAUGUGUGCUGGUAGAUGGUACUGAGCUGUAUCGAGUUGCCAUGUCCAUGGGUGAAAAAAGAAAAAAAAACACAAAUAUAAAAUAAUUCUGCUACUUGGAUAAUGUCAGUGUACUAAAAAGUCAAGUAAAAUAAAACAAUAUAAAAAGUA